CCUACGGGAGGCAGCAGUGGGGAAUAUUGGACACUGGGGGAAACCCUGAUCCAGCCAUGCCGCGUGAGUGAAGAAGGCCUUAGGGUUGUAAAGCUCUUUCACCUGCGACGAUGAUGACGGUAGCAGGAGAAGAAGCCCCGGCUAACUCCGUGCCAGCAGCCGCGGUAAU
rnacentral:rRNA from 1 species